GAUGAACGCUAGCGGCAGGCCUAAUACAUGCAAGUCGAACGAUAGUGAGGAGCUUGCUCUUCACGAAAAGUGGCGCACGGGUGCGUAACGCGUAUGCAACCUACCUUAAUCAGGGGGAUAGCCCGAAGAAAUUCGGAUUAACACCGCAUAAAAUACACAGUAUAGCAUUAUACAAUGAUCAAAUAUUUAUAGGAUUAGGAUGGGCAUGCGUGACAUUAGAGUUGGCGAGGUAACGGCUCACCAAGACUACGAUGUCUAGGGGAUCUGAGA
rnacentral:rRNA from 1 species